rnacentral:rRNA from 1 species
UACGUAGGGAGCAAGCGUUGUCCGGAAUCAUUGGGCGUAAAGCGCGCGUAGGUGGCCUCGUAAGUCCGCUGUGAAAGUCAAAGGCUCAACCUUUGAAAGCCGGUGGAUACUGUGAGGCUAGAGUACGGAAGAGGCGAGUGGAAUUCCUGGUGUAGCGGUGGAAUGCGCAGAUAUCAGGAGGAACACCAAUAGCGAAGGCAGCUCGCUGGGACGUUACUGACGCUGAGACGCGAAAGCGUGGGGAGCAAACAGG